GUUGAUAUCAGAGAUGCACAUGACCUGAAGGAUCUGCAUGUGAUGCCAGUUGAGCCCCAGAAAGGCAGUGCGACCUCAGAAUUGCUGAGCAGAAAAAAGACUGCUGGAGAAGUAGCUGGAGUGAGAAUCAAGACAACCAGAUCACAGGACUGGACCUUCCAUAAUCCACGUGAUACUGGGGAGGGGGCGGAGCCUUCUCUGAGAAGCUUGGAAGUGAGCUGUGCCUGGCCAGUCUUGGGGGAGGGGCUGCAUUUCACGAGGCUGCAGCUGACAAGAAGCUUCAAGCCUAGGUUAAUAUUGAAGAUACACAUGACCUGGGCAAUCUGCAUGUGA
rnacentral:lncRNA from 1 species